rnacentral:lncRNA from 1 species
UGCCAACAAGCUUUGUUAGUAUAAUGUUGCGCUAACGUGAGAGCGGGCUACGGUUCUCUUUCCACUUGACCCAACAGUCUAUUCAUAAGCUCACUUUGGCACUGCUGAUUGACUUUCUAAGGAAUCUUCUCUCGUCGAUAAGGAGGCGGGACAAGAAGUAACGUUACCAACAAGAGGUGUUCCCGAUCACUACCCUUUUGAAAGGCUGGAAACCUAGAUUUGGAGUAAUCAAACCUCUGUGAA